rnacentral:rRNA from 1 species
UAAGUACGAGACGCUAAGGCGUUGAAGCAGUCUAUGUCAGACUUCCAAGAAAAGCUCGCAAUGUCAUAAACAAAACCUGCCUGUACCAUAACCGACACAGGUGGGUAGGUAGAGUAUACUAAGGGGCGCGAGAUAACUCUCUCUAAGGAACUCGGCAAAAUGACUCCGUAACUUCGGGAGAAGGAGUGCCUUAUUUUUAUAAGGUUGCAAUAACAAGAUCCAAGCAACUGUUUACCAAAAACACAGGUCUCCGCUAAGUCGUAAGACGAUGUAUGGGGGCUGACGCCUGCCCAGUGCCAGAAGGUUAAAGAAGUUGGUUAGUUUCGGCGAAGCUGAUGACUGAAGCCCUGGUGAACGGCGGCCGUAACAAUAACGGUCCUAAGGUAGCGAAAUUCCUUGUCGGGUAAGUUCCGACCCGCACGAAAGGCGUAAUGAUUUGGAUACUGUCUCGGAGAGGGGCUCGGUGAAAUAGACUUGUCUGUGAAGAUGCGGACUACCUGCACCUGGACAGAAAGACCCUAUGAAGCUUUACUGUAACUUGAGAUUGAAAUUGGACUUUAUUUGCGCAGUAUAGGUGGGAGACGUUGAGAAUAUUCUUGCGGGAAUAUUGGAGUCAUCAGUGAGAUACCACUCUUGUAAUGUUAGAUUUCUAACUUUGUAUCAUGAUCUGGUCAAAGGACAGUUUCAGGCGGGCAGUUUGACUGGGGCGGUCGCCUCCCAAACGGUAACGGAGGCGCACAAAGGUUUCCUCUGAACGUGUAGAAAUCGUAUCUAGAGUGUAAAGGCAUAAGGAAGCUUGACUGUGAGACCUACAAGUCGAGCAGGGACGAAAGUCGGUCUUAGUGAUCUGACGGUGCUGAGUGGAAAGGCCGUCACUCAACGGAUAAAAGUUACUCUAGGAUAACAGGCUGAUCUCCCCCAAGAGUUCACAUCGACGGGGAGGUUUGGCACCUCGAUGUCGGCUCAUCGCAUCCUGGGGCGGUAGUACGUCCCAAGGGUUGGGCUGUUCGCCCAUGAAAGCGGUACGCGAGCUGGGUUCAGAACGUCGUGAGACAGUUCGGUCCAUAUCCGGUGUAGGCGUUAGAAUAUUGAGAGGAGCCUUCUUUAGUACGAGAGGACCGAGAAGGACAUACCUCUGGUGUACCAGUUAUCGUGCCAACGGUAAACGCUGGGUAGCUAUGUAUGGAGUGGAUAACCGCUGAAAGCAUCUAAGUGGGAAGCCCACCUCAAGAUAAG